rnacentral:rRNA from 1 species
CAGAGUUUGAUAUGGCUCAGGAUGAACGCUAGCUACAGGCUUAACACAUGCAAGUCGAGGGGAAACGACAUCGAAAGCUUGCUUUUGAUGGGCGUCGACCGGCGCACGGGUGAGUAACGCGUAUCCAACCUGCCCAUCACUUGGGGAUAACCUUGCGAAAGUAAGACUAAUACCCAAUGAUAUCUCUAGAAGGCAUCUGAAAGAGAUUAAAGAUUUAUCGGUGAUGGAUGGGGAUGCGUCUGAUUAGCUUGUUGGCGGGUAACGGCCACAAGCAACGAUCAGUAGGGGUUCUGAGACGGAAGGUCCCCACAUUGGAACUGAGACACGGUCCAAACUCCUACGGGAGGCA